CUCCACAAACUACCCCUAAUUUAUACAUGUUUGUUACAUUGAUUACCUCUAAUUUAUAUAUGCUUGUUACAUUGACUACCCCUCUCAUUAGUUGGUCAUUAAAUAAUAGUGUCAUAUGCAUAUCACAUGUCAUUUAAUGAAAUAUUACGAUAGAAAUAUCCUUUUAUGUUUUCAUAUAAAACAUGUUUCAAUAUAUUGC
rnacentral:lncRNA from 1 species